rnacentral:rRNA from 1 species
GAUGAACGCUGGCGGCGUGCCUAAUACAUGCAAGUCGAGCGAACAGACGAGGAGCUUGCUCCUCUGACGUUAGCGGCGGACGGGUGAGUAACACGUGGAUAACCUACCUAUAAGACUGGGAUAACUUCGGGAAACCGGAGCUAAUACCGGAUAAUAUAUUGAACCGCAUGGUUCAAUAGUGAAAGACGGUUUUGCUGUCACUUAUAGAUGGAUCCGCGCCGCAUUAGCUAGUUGGUAAGGUAACGGCUUACCAAGGCAACGAUGCGUAGCCGACCUGAGAGGGUGAUCGGCCACACUGGAACUGAGACACGGUCCAGACUCCUACGGGAGGCAGCAGUAGGGAAUCUUCCGCAAUGGGCGAAAGCCUGACGGAGCAACGCCGCGUGAGUGAUGAAGGUCUUCGGAUCGUAAAACUCUGUUAUUAGGGAAGAACAAAUGUGUAAGUAACUAUGCACGUCUUGACGGUACCUAAUCAGAAUGCCACGGCUAACUACGUG